GUUUUUUAACAUGUCCAAUAUGCGUUGUGCUCUGGAUGACAUGGUUAAACUUUUAACUAAAUUCCUUCAACUAGACCAACAAAAUAAUCACAGAAGAAAA
rnacentral:lncRNA from 1 species